AUUGAACGCUGGCGGCAGGCUUAACACAUGCAAGUCGAACGAUGAAGAUAUAGCUUGCUAUAUUGGAUUAGUGGCGGACGGGUGAGUAACACUUAGGAAUCUACCUUUUAGCGGGGGAUAGCUCGGGGAAACUCGAAUUAAUACCGCAUAAUUUCUACGGAAUAAAGAGGGCUUUUAGCUCUCACUAGAAGAUGAGCCUAAGUAAGAUUAGCUAGUUGGUGGGGUAAAAGCCUACCAAGGCGACGAUCUUUAGCUGGUCUGAGAGGAUGAUCAGCCACACUGGGACUGAGACACGGCCCAGACUCCUACGGGAGGCAGCAGUGGGGAAUAUUGGACAAUGGGGGCAACCCUGAUCCAGCCAUGCCGCGUGUGUGAAGAAGGCCUUUUGGUUGUAAAGCACUUUAAGCAGUGAAGAAGACCUAUUGGUUAAUACCCAAUAGCGAUGACAUUAACUGCAGAAUAAGCACCGGCUAACUCUGUGCCAGCAGCCGCGGUAAUACAGAGGGUGCAAGCGUUAAUCGGAAUUACUGGGCGUAAAGCGAGCGUAGGUGGUUAAAUAAGUCAGAUGUGAAAGCCCUGGGCUCAACCUAGGAACGGCAUCUGAAACUAUUUAACUAGAGUAGGUGAGAGGGAAGUAGAAUUUCAGGUGUAGCGGUGAAAUGCGUAGAGAUCUGAAGGAAUACCGAUGGCGAAGGCAGCUUCCUGGCAUCAUACUGACACUGAGGCUCGAAAGCGUGGGUAGCAAACAGG
rnacentral:rRNA from 1 species